rnacentral:rRNA from 1 species
UACGGAGGGUGCAAACGUUGCUCGGAAUCAUUGGGCGUAAAGCGCGCGUAGGCGGUCCAGCAAGUCGGGUGUGAAAGCCCUCGGCUUAACCGAGGAAGUGCAUUCGAAACUACUGGACUUGAGUACUGAAGAGGAUCGCGGAAUUCCCGGUGUAGAGGUGAAAUUCGUAGAUAUCGAGAGGAACACCUGCGGCGAAGGCGGGUUGCUGGGCUGACACUGACGCUGAUGCGCGAAAGCCAGGGGAGCGAACGGG